rnacentral:rRNA from 1 species
UAGGGAAUCUUCCGCAAUGGACGAAAGUCUGACGGAGCAACGCCGCGUGAGUGAUGAAGGUUUUCGGAUCGUAAAACUCUGUUGUUAGGGAAGAACAAGUACAAGAGUAACUGCUUGUACCUUGACGGUACCUAACCAGAAAGCCACGGCUAACUACGUGCCAGCAGCCGCGGUAAUACGUAGGUGGCAAGCGUUGUCCGGAAUUAUUGGGCAUAAAGCGCGCGCAGGCGGUCCUUUAAGUCUGAUGUGAAAGCCCACGGCUCAACCGUGGAGGGUCAUUGGAAACUGGGGGACUUGAGUGCAGAAGAGAAGAGUGGAAUUCCACGUGUAGCGGUGAAAUGCGUAGAGAUGUGGAGGAACACCAGUGGCGAAGGCGACUCUUUGGUCUGUAACUGACGCUGAGGCGCGAAAGCGUGGGGAGCAAACAGGAUUAGAUACCCUGGUAGUCCACGCCGUAAACGAUGAGUGCUAAGUGUUAGAGGGUUUCCGCCCUUUAGUGCUGCAGCAAACGCAUUAAGCACUCCGCCUGGGGAGUACGGCCGCAAGGCUG